ensembl:snoRNA SNORA70 Small nucleolar RNA SNORA70
CUACAGCCAAUUAAGCCCACCCGGCUCCUUUCCUCAUGGCCUGGGAUGCAACGGCUGCAAAUAGCAGCCUCCUUGCAGUGCACGCAGUACGUUCCAUGUACGGGCUCCCUCAGGAACCUGGAAGUCAGCU